rnacentral:lncRNA from 1 species
AUUUUGCUCAAAGGAAAAAGUGCCUUCCAUCAUUUUUGACACACACGACAGAGUCUAGAAUCUGCUCUCGUCUUCCGUCUCUUCUAUUCCAACCGAUGGAGGAGUUUCAGUUCGCCUUCUUCAAACUUUCAACAAUACUCGUAGCUCUUUUCGUCUUCUUAUCUAUCUAUUAGAUUUCAGGCAUUAUUCGCUCAAUCCUUGCUCGCAUCUUCUUUGUUUUCUCUUUGUCUUCUUUUCUUUCUUUGCUACUUUUAGAUCUAUUUAACUGUUUUCAAUUUCAUGGAUAAAUUUCCUUGGAUUUUGUAUUUUCCAACCAGAUGAUGCGGAAUUACCAUUUUAAGGGCUAUUCUCCGUCCAAUUUCAUUGAUGUUGCCUUCUUCUUGCUGAUUCACCUCUAUCUCUUCUUCUUCAUAAGGUAUUGAAAUUUAUUGUUCUACUAACUUAAAACAAAAAGGAUAUUUAAUUUUACUCCUAAUUCAUGUUGUUCUUCCUUUUCUUUACAUUUUUUGUAUAUGUUAUAUUUCUAUGAAUUGUGAAUCGCGAGUAUGUUUUCAGGCUCUUCUUAACUGCCUCUGCGCACACCCCUCACUCUCCAUAGCCGAGGAAAAGAACAGUAAGAACUCAUGAUAACCUAAUUUUGAUAAAGCACUAAAAUUGGUGUAUGGGUUGAGAUUGAAAUAAAGUGAAUGAAUUAAGUCAAAUGGCUAUUGGGAAAAAUUUAUGCAUAUAAAUUUCUAUUGACAGAUUUUAUUCAUUAUUUCAUGUCUUAGGAAUGCUUAAUUAGGCUUAAGAUGAUUUGGGAACUUUUCUUAAAAGUUGUGUUCGAGCAACAUCUGAUUGUUUAAACUUAAAUUCAUUUAUCUGGCUACAAAUUUAUGGAAUAAGGAAGGUAUGUUAAAGGGCAUGUAAUGGGAUUGCUUUAUAUGAUGACUCAUUGUUGUUGAUGGGAUUUGAAAGUAGAGGAAUAUUUAAAAGUAGAGGAGUAGGAAGUAGAGCACCGAGGAUUGAUAAAGAUUGUAUGAAGUUGCAAGACACUAAUGGUCCAGAAAAAGGACGAGAAAAUAGCACAGAUAUCCAAAACUUUAAGAAGCAGACAAGAGGAAUAGAGAUGUAAGGACAUGUAUAAGAGGAUACCUAAGCCAAGGAAGUAGCUUAAUUUUUUUUAUUUUUUUAUUCCUUGUUUAUUGGCAUCCACUGAUACAAUGUGUGUUCAACUAUAAAUUAUAGUUGUUUGUCUUAUUGGAAAUUCUCAUUCACCCAUCUUUAAGCCUAAUUUGUCUUAUUUUCUACUGAUAUGUCCAUGUCUUAUUAUCAACAUAUGUUAUCUUCACCUAUACUUUCUUAUUAUUCUCUACUUUUAUGCAAUUUUAUUAGAAUAUUCUUUAAGUUUGUAUUUUAUUAAGAUAUUUUGUCCAAAAGUAUAAGUGACGGAUGGAUCUUUCCAUCUUGCAUACUUGACUGAUUGAUUCACUUGGUUACUUCUUGACAAUUGGUUUUUUCUCCUGUUAGUUCAGUACCGAAUGCAUAUGGAUUAUCAGGUUUGUAUAUUUAUCAGUGGAAAAUAUUAUUGCAUUCAUAAAUACACUUUGUUUUAACAUAAAUAUAGCAUGUAUUAAAACAUUCUUCCAUGAUGAUUACUUUCAACUUUUACAAAUUAAAACUAUUACAGGAACCUAGAAAAAGGAUUAUUUUCAAGGUCAUGAAAGAGUACUCAAAGGUCCUCCUCCAUCACUUCAAGUGGCAAAGGCUGUGAACUAUUUAACUUGGUACCCUUCUUUUUAUCCAUCAAGGCCUCUACAUGCUGCUCUUUACUUCCUUUUUGGGUGUAAGUUUUUUUUUCUUCAUAUUUAUGUUUAUCAUUGUGAUUAUUGAUGGUAAGGCCCAGCUCUCUUCGCAUUCAGUUUCUUAAAUCAAUUGGUGUGUUUGCUUUUGUGCUUUUAAUUUAUUUCAUCACUUUCAAGUUGUAGUUACAAGUUCAAAGAUCAAUUGAUUUUUUUUUAAUAUUCCGGAACAUAUGAUGACUAAUAGCUUGUUUGGCCAAGCUGCAAAAAUUAACUUAUUUUGAGAAGUGUUUUUUCUCAAAAGUGCUUUUUUCAAAAGUAUUUUUUGGUGAGAAUCAGUUUGUGUUUGGCUAAUUAAUUUGAAAAGCACUUCUGAGCAGCAAUUAGUAUUUGGCCAAGUUUUUAAAAACUGCUUCUAAGUGUAUUUUUCUUAAAAGUGCUUUUCAAAAAAGUGCUUUUGGAGAGAAGCUACUUUUUUCUGCUUCUCCAAAACUGCUUCUGCUUCUCCUCAAAAGCACUUUUCUUUCUUCAAAAAGCUUGGUCAAACACUUUAACUUUGAAAAAAAAGUACUUCUUUUAAAAAGAAAAGUGCUUUUGGCUUUGGAGAAGCUGGGCCAAACAGGCGAUAAGUCUAGCAUUCAAAAACUUUCCUCUUAGUUAGAAAAGGUAGUAUUGUAAUGCAUGAAAUAACUGGUGAUCGAGGAGGUUUUAUAUUCAUACUUUGAAAGUUCUAGCUUUGAUAUUGCCUAUUAUUUGUGGCUACAAGAGUUGCUUUAAUUUUUAUUUGGCUGAAUAGGUAGGGUGAUUUAUGAUACAAUAACAUGUCGUAGUAUGUACACUUUCGGAAAUAAGUACUUCGUAAAAUUGUACUAUUGUUAGGUAUUGAGUUUUAUUUGUGAAUUGAAGUAUAUAACUCUUUCGCACAGUGUAUUAAUACCAUGAGAUAUUUUUCCGUUCUAUGAGUUUAUCUACUAAGAUUAAGGACAAAUAAAAUAAGAAAUCAAGGAUAGUUUUGCAUAAUUAUUGUAGUGUAUUUGGUAACAGUGGCAUGGUAUAACUUUGUUUGUUUCCUUGGUUAUAAGUCUUUGCAAAUUAAAUAUAAUGUACUACAAAUGUAUUUAUAAAAAAGUGCAAUUUAUGCAAAAAGGGUGACAAGAACAAACCAAAAUUUUGAGGAAAAAAAAAAACAUAUUACCUAGGCUGAGUGCCAUUUCAAACAUAAGGUGCUCUUGCAGAUAGAAUAACACAAAAACGUCAUUAUUGUUACUUAGUUGAUCAACCAUUAGAAGUUUGUUGAUUGACCGUUGUUUGGGAAGUUCUAGAAUAAGUACCAUCUUGAGCUAACUAUCUUGAACACAAUUUUAUGUUUGAUUAUAUCUUCUUCAGUAUUUCGUGAACUCUAAAUUAUUUUCAUUGUUGACUCUGGUAGAAAUUGAUUAUUCAUCAAUGGGAGAUUUAAAAGAACCCCAUGACUGAGGUAUGUAUUAGGUCUUGAGCACUACCAGCUUACUCAAUAUAUUUAGAUAUAAAGAAUGUGUUUUAUUGUAAUUGUCUUGAAGAGUUUGUACUUGAAUUAAACUAUCUACUCAGUUUCCUUUCGAUAUUUGACUUAUGGAACUUCAGUUUGAUACUUUAUGUGAUAAAUACAGUCAAUAAAUCAAUCUAUCUAUGUCUUGAAACAGAGAAGAAACUUUUCAAUUAAGGUUUGUGAAGAAAAUGAGAAAAGCAAAGUGGAUCACUUUUUUAUAUUUCCCUUUUCGUGUAUUAGAAAAUUUUAUUAUUGACAAAGACCACACUAAGAUAAUGCUGAGAUGACAUAAAAGAAAUAUUAAUAUCAGUCCAUAUUUAUUCUUGCAGUGAUGACAAAAAAUAUAUCAAUGUAUUUACUUCAUAUCCUUAUAUGUUCUUUAUAACGAAUGAACUUUUUGUGUCACUUAAUAGUCAUAUGAUAUUAAUGUAUCUUUUUCUUUUAUAUGAGGGAAAGUAAAAUGCAUUGACCAACUUUUCUGGACAUCAUUUGCAUUUCACAUAAGUUGUGUCAGCAUUAGCUUAUCAAAGAAAACAUAAGGCUUAGCAUUUUUUCGAUUUUUUCGUUAAUUGUUAGGUGGUUAAAUCUUAAUGAUAGGAAGAUCCUAUACUGUUUUGAUAAAAUAUUAUAUUUGAUGUAUCUUUAGAUUGUAGUAACAGUGUCUUGCUAUAAAAGGCCAUAAUUUGACUCUUGAGUAUAGUAUUUUUCGAGUAGUUUAUUUGUGGUGAUCGCACUUAUCUCUUUAUGUCGUGAUAUUUUUCAAUUCUUGCUAUCAUUUAAUAUUUUCUAUCUCUAAAUAUUUGACUUCUUAUUCUCUACUUGGAAUAGGACAGGUUGUCUGAAGAACACAUAGUAGCAGAUGUAUGAAUGCAAUACACAAAAUAUUUGCCAUACUUUAUGUGGCUCUUAGUUGGACUAUGUUCUCUUUUGUUUAUAGUACAAACACGGAUAGCAACUGAUAUAUUUAGUUGAUCACGUAGCAUAAGAUAGUGGGUAGAAAACGAUGAAGAAAUAAGGCGUACUUGAGCUUGAGUUUGAUUUUGUAAGUAUAUUUAAAGGAAGUUGAAGAAAAGGAAAUAUUUAGCUCAAUUUUGAUAAAUCUAGGGAAG